GAAUCUUCCGCAAUGGACGCAAGUCUGACGGAGCAACGCCGCGUGAGUGACGAAGGUUUUCGGAUCGUAAAACUCUGUUGUGAGGGAAGAACACGUACCAGGUAACUACUGGUACCUUGACGGUACCUCACCAGAAAGCAACGGCUAACUACGUGCCAGCAGCCGCGGUAAUACGUAGGUGGCAAGCGUUGUCCGGAAUUAUUGGGCGUAAAGCGCGCGCAGGCGGUCCUUUAAGUCUGAUGUGAAAGCCCACGGCUCAACCGUGGAGGGUCAUUGGAAACUGGAGGACUUGAGUGCAGAAGAGGAAAGUGGAAUUCCAUGUGUAGCGGUGAAAUGCGUAGAGAUGUGGAGGAACACCAGUGGCGAAGGCGACUUUCUGGUCUGUAACUGACGCUGAGGCGCGAAAGCGUGGGGAGCAAACA
rnacentral:rRNA from 1 species